GCUAGCGUAGCUUAACUAA
rnacentral:tRNA from 1 species